AAAAAGGGAAAGCACAAACAAAUGUUAAGGUUAUUAGGUUAACUAAGCUAGCCCUGCGUGGGAGAGGGAGGAGGGGUGGAGGAAUGAAGGAAAAUCACUCUAAACAAAAAAAAAAAAAACAUUUCACACUCC